ensembl:lncRNA
AAACAUCUUAUCCUUGAGGUUCCUGCACUUCCUGUGAGGACAGGAAGUGAUGUCACACUGCGCUGCAGACAAAGGAAUGGUGACACAGUUCAGGGUUAUUUCUCCAUCAAAGGAAGUUCUGUUGGUCCUAAACGAGAGCACAGCAUCACUAACAUCACACAGGCUGAUGAAGGUCUUUACUGGUGCUCUACUGAUGACGGUGGAAAGUCUCCUCAGAGCUUUCUGAGGGUCAGAGAUCCUCAUCCUCCUCAAAACCCAUCUCCCUCCUCUCCUCCUGUAAACUCUCCUCUUUCUUUUACUCUUUCCAUUCACCCCCCAGCCUCCUCCCCCACUCCUCCCUCUCUCCUGGUCACAGUUGUAGCAAGUCUCGUCUCUGUGGUUGUCUUGGUUCUAGUUGUGGGUGGAGUUCUGUUCUUCUGCAGGGAAAUCAAAGGAGGUCGGGGAGCAGACCUGUGGAGGUGUGGAGGUGACGGCUGUCUGAGACGGAGCGUCUGCCUCUGCUGUGAGUCUCCUUCAUGUUUCUCCACAUGUAUUAUCUGUGUUUCCACCACUGGAGGGCGCUGUGGGUUAUUGAUGUGUGGGAACAGUAACCAAUCACUGCAGUCUGAAUGCUUCUCUUUG